rnacentral:lncRNA from 1 species
AGCGCUGGACUUUCCAGCUCUGGACUCGUCAGCGCUGGACUCGGCAGUGCUGGACUCGGCAGGGAUGAACUAUGUACAACACUAACAAAUGGAUCAAACGCACCGGCGGGAGAGAAAAAAAAUAACAAAAAUGAGAAAAAAUUGAAAAUUAAAUAAAGCAAGUAAAAUCAGAAAGAAAAGCGACACAACUAAAAUGCCUAAAACCUUCCCCGGCAACGGCGCCAAAAUUUGACUCAACCUAUAACACC